rnacentral:rRNA from 1 species
GAUGAACGCUGGCGGCGUGCUUAACACAUGCAAGUCGGGCGAAGCAGUUAAGUUGAUUUCUUCGGAUUGAUUCUUGACUGACUGAGCGGCGGACGGGUGAGUAACGCGUGGGUGACCUGCCCCAUACCGGGGGAUAACGGCUGGAAACGGCUGCUAAUACCGCAUAAGCGCACAGAGCUGCAUGGCUCGGUGUGAAAAACUCCGGUGGUAUGGGAUGGGCCCGCGUCUGAUUAGGCAGUUGGCGGGGUAACGGCCCACCAAACCGACGAUCAGUAGCCGGCCUGAGAGGGCGACCGGCCACAUUGGGACUGAGACACGGCCCAAACUCCUACGGGAGGCAGCAGUGGGGAACAUUGCACAAUGGGGGAAACCCUGAUGCAGCGACGCCGCGUGAGCGAAGAAGUAUUUCGGUAUGUAAAGCUCUAUCAGCAGGGAAGAUAAUGACGGUACCUGACUAAGAAGCCCCGGCUAACUACGUGCCAGCCGCCGCAGUAA